CAACUUAGUGAGCCCCUGUCUCAAAAUGGAAAAUAAAAAGCCUGGGGAUAUAGAUCAGUGGAGAGUGGCCCUGGGUUCCAUUUCCAGUACCCCCUCCCCAGACCCAAGUAAACCAGUAUCCGUGACACCAUGUUCACUACUACGAUCUCAUCAGAGUUGCAACCUCAAAGUGGUUCAGGCAAGUAACAAAAAGACAAGCUGAGAGAAGGGUUGUAAACUGCUGUGACUGAGCAUCACAGCCACCCUCCCUGGUGCAUUACCUGGUACAUUACUGUGAUCAGGGAGGCCAAAAGCUUGAGGAUCCACCGACUCCGUGCAGUUGGCAUUGUUUUAAUUGUUGGCAAGAUAAUUAAUUGCAGUUUCAAAGCUUGUUUAUUU
rnacentral:lncRNA from 1 species